rnacentral:rRNA from 1 species
AGGACGAACGCUGGCGGCGUGCUUAACACAUGCAAGUCGAGCGAGGCCCUUUCCUUCGGGAGAGGUGCCCUAGCGGCGAACGGGUGAGUAACACGUGGGCAACCUGCCCCUAGCACUGGGAUAACUCCGGGAAAACCGGGGCUAAUACCGGAUACGACCUCUGAGGGCAUCCUCGGGAGGUGGAAAGCAUUGUGGCUAGGGAUGGGCCCGCGGCCUAUCAGCUUGUGGUGAGGUAACGGCCCACAAGGCGACGACGGGUAGCCGGCCUGAGAGGGCGACCGGCCACACUGGGACUGAGACACGGCCCAGACUCCUACGGGAGGCAGCAGUGGGGAAUAUUGCACAAUGGGCGAAAGCCUGAUGCAGCGACGCCGCGUGAGGGAUGACUGCCUUCGGGUUGUAAACCUCUUUCAGCAGGGACGAAGCGAAAGUGACGGUACCUGCAGAAGAAGCACCGGCAACUACGUGCCAGCAGCCGC